GGGCCUAUAGUCUAGUGGUUAUGACGUUUGCUUCACAGGCAAAAGGUCGCCGGUUCAAAUCCGGCUGGGCCCA
rnacentral:tRNA from 1 species